GCCGGUCGCUGGAAGCGGGUCUUGGGAUUCAGCACCUCGGUCAGCUCCGCGUCCGCAGAGGCGUCCAUCCGCCUUCGCCUGGCAGGAAGCGGCCAUCGAUCGCCCUGUUUCAUUGACAGAGCCGAUCGCACUCAGCCUUGCCCCCCUCCCACUCUCUCCAUCCUUCCGCCCCUUUUCUCACCGAGUGCCUGAAAAAAGGGAGCAAACACGUAAGCAGAAACAACCUGGGUCUGUAGUGUGAGAGCCGCGUCUGAGCCAAAGCUCCUUCACCGUCGCUCGCACCGAUUCACCACAUCCUCCGAUUUUUUUUCCCGUGGGCUCCUUUCGUUGCUUGUCUUUUACCAUUUAUAAUAACCAUCGUUGGACUUUUUCGGCUGCUUUAUUUUACUCACAUUGGAGCGGCGCUCUAAUCUAAAUAUCCAGAUUUAACUGCCUAUAUAGGUAACCUUUACUCAAAGGCAGGAUGUUGGAUCCGUCAUCCAGCGAGGAGGAAUCAGAUGGGAUAGUGGAGGAAGAAAGCAAAGAGGUGAUGGCACCCCAGGCCGGCUCCCGAAUUUCCCCGAGCCGGACCAGCGAGAGCUCGGGUGGGCUGCAGCCCGGUAGCCGGGGAAGCAGCGCCCGUCCGUCCAGCCCGAGCCCCUCGGCCGUGAGCGAGCAGGAAAAAGAGGAGGUGGAGAAGCUGCAUAGAGAGGAAGAGGAGCGGAAGAAGAAAUUGCAGCUCUAUGUAUUUGUAAUGCGGUGCGUCGCUUAUCCUUUCAAUGCAAAGCAGCCGACCGACAUGGCCAGACGGCAGCAGAAGAUAACCAAGCAGCAGCUUCAGACGGUGAAAGAUCGUUUCCAGGCCUUCUUGAAUGGAGAGACGCAGAUUGUUGCGGAUGAAGCCUUCAUCAAUGCAGUGCAGAGCUUCUACGAGGUGUUCCUGAAGAGUGACCGCGUGACACGCAUGGUGCAGAGCGGCGGCUUCUCGGCCAACGACUGCCGCGAGGUCUUCAAGAAGCACAUUGAAAAGCGUGUGCGUAGCCUGCCGGAGAUCGACGGCCUCAGCAAGGAGACGGUGCUCAGCUCCUGGAUGGCCAAGUUCGACACCAUCUACCGGGGUGAUGAGGACCCGCGCAAGCAGCAGCAGCGCAUGACGGCCAGCGCCGCAUCCGAGCUCAUCCUCAGCAAGGAUCAGCUCUACGAGAUGUUCCAGCAGAUCCUGGGCAUCAAGAAAUUUGAGCACCAACUUCUCUACAACGCCUGUCAGCUGGACAACUUAGAUGAACAAGCUGCCCAAAUAAGAAGAGAGUUGGAUGGACGACUACAAAUGGCGGAUCAGAUUGCAAGAGCUGGGAAGUUUCCCAAGUUUGUGUCCAAAGAAAUGGAGGCCAUGUACAUCGAGGAGCUGAAGGCUUCAGUCAACCAGCUGAUGGCCAACCUGGAAAGCAUGCCGGUGUCUAAGGGUGGGGAGUUUAAACUGCAGAAGCUGAAAAGAGGUCACAAUACCUCCAUCAUCGACAUGGGCCAGGAAGAUGAGAACCAGCUCUCCAAGUCUGACGUGGUGCUCUCUUUCACCUUGGAGGUUGUAAUAAUGGAGGUUCAGGGCCUGAAGUCUCUGGCUCCCAACCGCAUUGUCUACUGUACCAUGGAAGUGGAGGGGGGUGAGAAACUGCAGACCGAUCAGGCAGAGGCCUCCAAACCGACCUGGGGCACUCAAGGGGACUUCACUACAACACACCCACUUCCUGUGGUCAAGGUGAAGCUUUUCACAGAGAGUACAGGGGUGCUGGCGCUGGAGGACAAGGAGCUGGGAAGGGUUGUCCUGCAUCCAACGCCCAACAGUCCCAAGCAGUCCGAGCUACAUAAAAUGAGUCUGACGAAGGCGUGCCCUGACCACGACCUGAAGAUCAAGUUGGCCAUCCGCAUGGACAAGCCACAGAAUAUGAAGCAUUGUGGGUACCUGUGGGCAUUUGGGAAAAAUGUUUGGAAGCGGUGGAAAAAGCGGUACUUCGUCUUAGUGCAGGUGAGCCAGUACACCUUUGCCAUGUGCAGCUACCGGGAGAAGAAGGCAGAACCUCAGGAGCUGCUUCAGCUGGAUGGCUAUACGGUGGACUACACUGACCCCCAGCCAGGCCUGGAUGGUGGGAGGGCUUUCUUCAACGCAGUGAAGGAGGGAGACACUGUGAUAUUUGCCAGCGACGACGAGCAAGACCGCAUCCUGUGGGUUCAGGCUAUGUACCGGGCCACUGGGCAGUCCCACAAACCUGUCCCACCCACCCAGGUGCAGAAGCUCAACGCCAAGGGAGGCGCAGCACCCCAGAUGGACGCACCCAUUUCCCAGUUCUAUGCGGACAGAGCUCAGAAACAUGGGAUGGAUGAGUUUAUCUCCGCUAACCCCUGUAGCUUUGACCACGCCUCCCUUUUCGAGAUCUUACAGCGGCUUACGCUGGAUCACAGGCUCAAUGACACCUUUUCAUGUCUGGGAUGGUUCAGUCCAGGACAGGUGUUUGUGCUGGAUGAGUACUGCGCCCGCAAUGGUGUGCGGGGCUGCCAUAGACACCUGCAUUAUCUGGGGGACCUGCUGGAGCGUGCUGAGAACGGGGCCAUGAUCGACCCCACCCUGCUGCACUACAGCUUUGCCUUCUGCGCCUCUCAUGUCCAUGGUAACAGGCCAGAUGGAUUAGGAACCGUCAAGGUGGAUGAGAAGGAACGGUUUGAGGAUAUCAAAGAGAAGUUGCGUGUGUUUCUGGAGGACAAGAUCACUAACUUCAGAUAUAGCUUUCCAUUCGGCCGUCCCGAAGGAGCCCUGAAAGCUACUUUGUCUUUACUAGAAAGGGUCCUUAUGAAAGAUAUUGUGACCCCAGUGCCACAGGAAGAGGUGAAAGGUGUGAUUCGCAAAUGUCUGGAACAGGCCGCUUUGCUUAACUACCAGCGCAUCACUGAAUACGCCAAAAUUGAAGUUGAGAAAGAUCAAAAGGAUCAGAAGGAUCCAGAUAACGCAGCUCGAUUAGCCACUCCUGCCAAGAGACUGGAAGACACGAUCCGUAUGGCAGAGUUAGUCAUUGAAGUACUUCAACAAAAUGAGGAUCACCACGCCGAGGCUGCAGUCACAAGUACAGGAGAUCAAUCGGCCUUUGCAUGGUGGUCCGACUUGAUGGUGGAACACGCUGAGCACUUCUUGUCGCUCUAUGCUGUGGACAUGGAUUCUGCCCUGGAGAUACAGUCCCCAGAAAGCUGGGACAGCUUUCCACUCUUCCAGCUGCUUAACGACUUCCUCCGGAUCGACUGCCACCUGUGCAACGGGAAGUUCCACAAACACCUGCAGGACCUCUAUGCCCCGCUUGUGGUUAAAUAUGUGGACCUCAUGGAGUCUUCCAUUGCACAGUCUAUACAUAAGGGCUUUGAUCGCGAGUCGUGGGAGCCCGUGAAGAGUUUAACAAGUAAUCUGCCCAAUGUGAAUCUGCCAAAUGUGAACCUCCAAAUUCCCAAAGUACCAAAUCUGCCGGUCCCAGUAGCAGGACUGUCAGUUAACCUCCCACAAAUGCCUAGCUUUUCCACUCCAUCAUGGAUGGCCUCUAUAUAUGACUCUGACAAUGGUUCUGGGACCACAGAGGACCUCUUCUGGAAGCUGGAUGCCUUGCAGACCUUCAUCCGGGACCUACACUGGCCUGAGGAAGAGUUUGCCAAACACCUGGACAACCGUAUGAAGCUAAUGUCCAGUAACAUGAUUGAAUCCUGCGUGAAACGCACGAGGGCUGCCUUCGAGUCGAAGCUCCAGAAGAGCAGCAAGACGACAGAUUUCCGCAUCCCACAGUCAAUAUGCACUAUGUUCAACGUGAUGGUGGACGCCAAGGACCAGUCUGCCAAGCUGUGCGCCAUGGAGAUGGGCCAGGAGAAACAGCAGCAUUCCAAAAUCGACUCUCUCAUCGAAGAUUCCGUUAAGGAGAUGAUUACCCUCCUGGUGGCCAAGUUUGUAACCAUUCUGGAAAGUGUCUUGGCGAAGCUGUCCAGAUACGACGAAGGCACUCUCUUUUCGUCCUUCUUGUCUUUCACAGUAAAAGCCGCCUCGAAGUAUGUGGAUGUUCCCAAGCCCGGGAUGGACGUGGCGGACGGAUACGUGACCUGUGUGCGCCACUCACAGGACAUGCUCCGAGAAAAGGUCAAUGAGGAGGUGUACAUAGAAAGGUUAUUUGAUCAUCCAAUCCCAGCUCUGCAUGCAGAACCCACCCAAAGCAACAGUGUGAAGUGGACCGGCACCAACAUGGGUCUGCCCAAUUCUGUUCCCACGGUGACGCCUGCCCAGGGACUGGCAGGCCCUGAUCCAAAUUCUCUCAACUACAGCCUCUUCACUUCACGAUACCAAAAAUUGUUUAUGAUUAUAAUUUUUUUUUCUUUUGAAAAAUAUUACAGUAUGCUUUCACUCCAUGUGCUGUUAUCUUUAAACUGUGAUUUUUAAAUCAAAAUAGCAGGGCACACCGGUCGAAUAACAGAAGCAGUGUCUUAUAAUGCACAACAUCGGCCAGAAAGGAAUCAGUUCUGUGUGAUGAAACAGUCUGAGAAAACAGCACAACUCCUUGUUGCCUGCUAAACCAUUUCUGCACUUUCUCAUUUGGAAUUUGAUUUAAAUCAUUAAUACCUUCCAGUAGCACUAAUUGGAUUCAACCUAUAUUUGUAAUAGUAGCUCAUACACAUCUGAAGUUUGUUUACUUAAUACUCACUAAAUAUAAUGAAGAUAGGAAGAUUUGUAGCUAUAUAUGAGCAUUUAUGACUGAAUCCUUUGACAAAAUCCUGAUUAAUUCAACAUCUACAGAACACUCUUGUUAAGAUAAAAAGCCUCAUUGUCAGCUGUGGGUAAGUCUAAUGAUACAAUAACACUAUAACAACUAUAUUAACCAGCAGAUGAUCGCUUUGGUAGCUUAUCGUAUUAAUGGGGUGGUGUUUAUGAUGGAGUGGGGGAUUGUUGGACCUGUGUGGUACUGUGGUUGUGCAGGCAUGGUCGGUGGUCUUUGUGUGGCACCACACUGCAAACUCACUAACUUUGCAUAAUGCAUCUUGUCAGUAAUUUAACACAUAUUUAGUGAAUUGAUGGCAAAGACAAAAAUCAUCUGAAUGCUGCUUGGCUGCAAUUUUUCUGAACGAGAGGAGGAGUACAAACUAGAUAAUUCAAGGUCAGGUAAACCGGAAUGGAAAUAAUCAUCUGCUGUGGUCAGGGGGAGGGGCCAUGCUGAAGGGGAACAGCAGCUGUAAAGGUAGCUGCCCAGGACCAAAUCCAUACAUCUAACGGAGAGAUGACCUGACUUCUGACCCAGUAACGGCUCCUGCAGCUGCCUGUAGACAAGGAUAAUCUGCAUGGCUGAGUCUCCAUGCUGACAGCAGGAGUAAACAAAGAAAGUCAAACUAUUCAACAGAAAGUCAGCUUGUCAAUGGUACCGUCCUGUCUAAUGAUUUUUUUUUCUCUCUUAGAAUAUGCUGGGUGACAUUUUGCCUCUAACCUAAUUCUUGCCAUUCUGUUUCUAACAAAACAAACUUGUCUUUUGUGUGACUGCAUGUUUGUUCAGAAAUAGUCUUUAGUUAGACCUGUAUUAGUCUUUUUAGUGUCAUUAAAGCAUAGGCACACAGUCAGCAAACAGUAACCUAUGAUGUGUAAAUGUGUUUAUUGCUAUAUGUGCUGCUUUAUUAUUGCUGUGCCGAAACAGAGAGUGUUUUCAUGAAGUAUAGUUUCUUCCUUUAUACUUUUUCUUAUGUGAGAUUUAUUUGAGCUGUUAUGUGAGAUUACAGUACUUGUCCACAGACUUUUUUUGCCAUUUUGCCGCACGAUGCAGACUUGUCUGCACUCUGAUAUCAAACUCUGAAUGGUGAAAAAGUCCAUAUUUUUAAAAUGGCUAAAUAUUUUUUAGCAGUGUUAUUUUCAUUAUUUCAUGGUGGAAUAGUUGGUGGCACUGUUGCUUCAUGCCUUUAGAACUAGAAUUUUAGUUUGUUUGUUUGUUUGUUUGUUUAUUAGUUAACUUACUUUUAAUAAUAUAUCCUUCACAGAAUCUGAACGCUGAGUUGCUAUGAAAACACCUCUUCAGGACUGUACCCUUGAAGGACUAAAACUAUGCUAACAGUACUAAGUAUACUAACCGGCCGGCCUGUAGGAAUAAUUAUAAGGUCACCCACUUUCUUCCGUAUAUUUGAUCAGGUGAUCCAUCUCUGUGGAUACAAAGCGGAGUGGUGUUCGCUGGGUAACGUCGAUGGCAGACUCCAGUCUUUAAAAAAACUGCAGGGAAACUUAAGGAGAGAUCAUUCAAGCCUCCCUGGAUUUGUAGGUUGGAUGAGAGAGUUCAGUCACAGCCGCUGUUUGGGCUAUGCAACACUUCUGAGAAGAGCGCCGCUACUUCAUUGUCCAAAAGCUCAACAAAUACCCUUAAUCAGAGACUGUAUUCAUUGUCGUAAUGGGACUUCCCCCAUCAAGUUUUAAUUGGAUUAAAGACAAGGUGUAAAUUAGUUAAUAUAACCCUAGUAACUUCCCAUCUUUCAAUUUCGAUAAAAUUUUUUCCAGCUUGACUUAAUGCAUAUCCAGAUAAAUGAGACCAUAAGACCAAUCCCGUUGUUCCCCAUUUGUCCUACUGCUUGUUUGUGUCCGUAUUCCAUCUCUCAGUGUACGUGUCUGUGUGUGUUGCUGGAGAACGCUGUCUGUCUGUCUUUCAGCAAUGGUACACGGGCACCAUGAAUCUCCUGGGAACCUGGCUCACUGACCGCAUGGACCUUCAGCUCCAUGUCUAUCAGCUUAAAAUUCUUAUCAGGAUUGUCAAGAAAACGUACAGGGAUUUCCGUCUGCAAGGAGUGCUUGACUCGAC